rnacentral:rRNA from 1 species
GACGAACGCUGGCGGCGUGCUUAACACAUGCAAGUCGAACGGAAACGCCUUCUUUCCCUUGUGGAUUGCGUGUCCUCGGGUGGCGAACGGGGGAGUACCACGGGAUUUAUCUUCCCCCAACUUGGGACUAAGCCUGGGAAACUGGGUCACAUUCCCGAUCCGACUGCAGGGUGGUGCCUGUGUUGGAAAACGAUUUUCUUGAGGUUGCGGAUGAGCUGGCGGCCUAUCAGCUUGUGGGUGGGGUAAUGGCCGACCAAGGCGGCGACGGGUAGCCGGCCUGGGAGGGGGGACGGCAACAGUUGGACUGAGAUACGGCCCAGACUGCUACGGGAGGCAGCAGUGGGGAAGAUUGCACAAUGGGCGGAAGCCUGAUGCAGCGACGCCGCGUGGGGGAUGACGGCCUUCGGGGUGUAAACUCCUGUCGACCGCGAGGAAGCCACCUGGUUGGAAGGGUGGUGACGGUAGUGGUAGAAGAAGCACCGGCUAACUACGUG